AAGACGAUCAGAUACCGUCGUAGUCCUAACUAUAAACGAUGUCAACCAAGGAUUGGAUGAAAUAAAGAAAUGCGCGGAUGAAGAAACAUUGUUUUGGAAUCCAAGCGUUUCACAACUACCUUGUUCAGAACUUAAAGAGAAAUCUCGAGUUUAUGGACUUCAGGGGGAGUAUGGUCACAAGGCUGAAACUUAAAGGAAUUGACGGAAGGGCACACCAGGAGUGGAGCCUGCGGCUUAAUUUGACUCAACACGGGAAAACUUACCAAGACCGAACAGUAGAAGGAAUGACAGAUUAAGAGUUCUUUCAUGAUUUAUUGGGUAGUGGUGCAUGGCCGUUCUUAGUUGGUGGAGUGAUUUGUCAGGUUAAUUCCGGUAACGAACGAGACUGAAACCUAUUAAUUAGUUUCCUGCCUAUACGACAGGAAUCUCCGUAAGGUCAGGUGCGCAAGUACCACUUCUUAAAGGGACACAUUUCAAUUGUCUCAUUUUAAUCGAUGUCUCUGGCUCCGGUCAGAACUCUUUUAACGUGAGAAAAAGAAAAAGGAAGCAUUCAGCAAUAACAGGUCUGUGAUGCCCUUAGACAUCUUGGGCCGCACGCGCGCUACAAUGGAGUUACUAGAGAGUAUUUUAUCAUCUAAGCCUUAUAUUGUAGACUUUGUUUAUAAUGUAGGGAUAUUAGGUGAUGUACCGAGAUUGAAAUAGUUAAGGAAAACUCAAAAGAACGUACAUGACAGGGAUAAAUGAUUGGAAUUAUUUGUUUUGAACGAGGA
rnacentral:rRNA from 1 species